AAGCUCGUAGUUGAAUUUCGGGAUCAGUAGGUCGGUCAUGCCUAUGGUAUGUACUGGCUUUACUGGUUCCUCCUUCUUGAUGAUCUGUAAUGUCAUUAAUUUGGUGUUGCAGGGAGUCAGGACUGUUACUUUGAAAAAAUUAGAGUGUUUAAAGCAGGCAUACGCUUGAAUACAUUAGCAUGGAAUAAUGAAAUAGGACGUUCGAUCCUAUUUUGUUGGUUCCUAGGAUUGACGUAAUGAUUAAUAGAGAUAGUUGGGGGCAUUAGUAUUCAAUUGUCAGAGGUGAAAUUCUUGGAUUUAUUGAAGACUAACUACUGCGAAAGCAUUUGCCAAGGAUGUUUUCAUUAAUCAAGAACGAAAGUUAGGGGAUCGAAGACGAUCAGAUACCGUCGUAGUCUUAACCAUAAACUAUGCCGACUAGGGAUCGGAUGAUGUUAUUUUUAAUGACUCAUUCGGCGCCUUACGGGAAACCAAAGUGUUUGGGUUCCGGGGGGAGUAUGGUCGCAAGGCUGAAACUUAAAGGAAUUGACGGAAGGGCACCACCAGGGGUGGAGCCUGCGGCUUAAUUUGACUCAACACGGGGAAACUCACCAGGUCCAGACAUAGUAAGGAUUGACAGAUUGAGAGCUCUUUCUUGAUUCUAUGGGUG
rnacentral:rRNA from 1 species